rnacentral:tRNA from 1 species
AGUUAAUGAACUUGAAUAAGUAUAUGUUUUGAAAACAUAAAAUAGAAAUAUUAAUUUUCUAUUAACUU